GGUGGUGGUACAUGAUAUGUCCUUGAACUGGGCUUUAUUUUUUUAAAGAUCUUUGAUUUAUGAGACUAUCUGAGGAUUAGAAGAAGCUAAAAUAGAAAUGAAUAAUGACAAAAAUAAUGAAAAUUCAGUAAAAUUUGUUUUGGAAAUGUUUUUUAGCUUCUCUGUGUUUUUCCAAUGCAGUAAAAAGUUUGAGUCCCUUAUAGUAACAGAAUAUAUGUGUACAUAUCAGGAAAAAAUAACUUAUUUCCUACCACCCCUAAAAAUUUUCUUGGUGAAAUAGUUAUUCUGUGUAUUUCUGUUAUUGCCU
rnacentral:lncRNA from 1 species